AUUUCUGACAUUAGAAAAAAUGCUGACCCAAACCACAACUUGCCAGAUCAGAGCUCAGGGAUGAUGGUCUAGCUCUGAUGCAGUCUUAGUGACACGCACUCUGUGAUUGCUUACAAGGACAGGCUUUACUAAAGUUUGCUUGAAAGAGGACGAGAUUAUUUUUAUUUUCCUGUUUCUCUUAUAGCACCCUCUAAAACUUUGGGUUCCUCUGCCCAAAUGCUCAUGUCAUCUUGGAGGCCAGGAUCUGAGAAUCCAGCCAAGCUGUGCUUUUUUCAGGACACCAGGGACAAAGAUGGUUUUAAGCCACCUUCAGACUCUGCUGGUCCCGGAGCCAGGAUCCUACACCUGGGAGGAAUCUCAUUGAUGUUAGAAGUGAAGUCCACAGGAUUCCAUGGAUGUGCACAGUACCAGCUACAGAAAGGAUCAGUGUGGAGAAUCCUGUUUUGUCACUGGCAGAAUUGGCUCUUCUUCUGCUUGGUCCUGGCAGUAAUGACUAUCAUUCCCCUUGCAGUCUAUCGAAUGAUGGUAGCUUUUAAGGACCCUCCACCCAGUGCUGUAUUCCAUGCAGCAGCUGUGUGCUUUGGAGUUCUCGCAGAGACUCUUCUGAUAAAAUACGUAUUGUAUUACUGCAGCAGCAAAUACAACGAGGCCAAGAUGUCUUCAUUUUCCGUCAGAGCGAGAACUGUAGAACAAUGUGAUCGAGGCGUUGGUCUUCUGUGGCCAGCCGGUCAGAACCCAUCAACAGCUGUGAUGAGCAGAGCAGAGAUGGGGAAACAGGAGGCAGUCAAAGCCAAAGAAGGUUUCGGCCUGAAGCUGUGUGUAUGACUGAAGCAGAGCAAGGCCAGGACCCAAGGAAACCCCAGCAGCAAGGGAAAAAACAGAUUGACUCUCAGUGACUCAUUUAGCUCCUGGAUUGGACAAAUCUCUCCCCUGCUGGCAGUUUGGCUGAGCAUCAAUGAGACAGAUACCAGGAUGAAUAGCUUAAAAUAAUUAGGGGGCCAAUCUGCAAAACUGCUCUCAUCCAAUUCUUUACUGUGUGAUGAAAGACACAAAACAAAUUACAUUUAGAUAUUAAAUAUUAAGUCACUGGAUUUACCUCCAUUUGGUCCAAAGCAGGAAACUGGAUAAAAUUCAAUUUUAUAUCAUUGUGUUGAUGGCCUGUUUUUCAUCAAAUGAGUGAGUGUUUGUUGGCAGGUCAGACUCUUUGACACAUGGGGAAAAUAGGUGCUUAAUUUAAAUGAGAAUUAAUGCAAUCAUAAUUAACACAAAUGUGAACAGAAUUAAACACAGGCAAGAGUUCAGUUUAAUGCUUAGCAGUUUAAACUAUAUGUUUUAGGAAACAUCCUGCUUCAGCUGAAGACAAUGGCAGUGUUGCCACUGAAUUCAAUGGAAACCGGAGUAGGCCUUCUAGGUAGACAGGCAGGAUUCCCUGUACUUUAUAUUUAAUGCACAAAAACAGAAGCAACAAGCUCAUUUAGUAUCAGUAAAGGUCAGUUAAAAUUAUAGAGACAUCCUUUGGAGCAAAUCUUCUGCCUUGUAUUUGCAUAUUUAUGAACUAGAGAUUAUGACAGGCCAUUCCAUUUAUUAGAGCAGCGCUGCUAUAGUUAAUAGUCUGUCAGCGUUUCCAUUAUAAACCCCGUUUUUCAGUGUUUUAAUUUCUCAGCCAUUUGAAAUCACAUCAGGAAGCAACGUAGCCCUUGUGUUGUCAGGCCAGGUGCAUUUUUUUUUAAAUUAAUAAAAAUAUAUUUAAAUGAGCUCA
rnacentral:lncRNA from 1 species